GAGUUUGAGCCUGGAUCUCGAUGAACGCUGGCGGGAGGCCUAACACAUGCAAGUCGAAUGGUAGAGUGGACUUCUUUUGCUUUGACAGCGUUCAUGGUGUGACGGGCGUUUUGUGUCUGCUCGGGAUGAAUUCACCGCCCGAAAACUGGGAUUACUGCCCAUGGAACUUUCGAUCUGCCGGGAUUGUAAGUUAACGCUUCGGCGCUUAAGGAGAGACCUGAGUUUCAUUAGCUUUUGGGUGAUUGAAUCUCUCUGUCUCGCCCCAUGUAGUAGGGGUCUUGAAAGCGGGGCCCCGCGCAUGCUUACUUGAACUCGUCCCCACCUCCUUCGGGAGUAUAAACAAAAGUAUUUGGGGAAUUGCAUGAAACUCUAACCCAACCUACGCUUGUGCAGGAAGACGGGACUUACGGGUUGUAAACCGCUUUUAUGAAGGAAGAAAGGUUGGUAUUUAUGCUGAUUUGACGGUACUUCAAGAUUAAGUAUCAGCUAACUCCGUGCCCGCACCCGCGGUAAUACGGAUGGUUCGAGCGUUAUCGUGAAUCACUGGGUGUAAAGGGUGCGUAGGCGGCCUGCGUCGUCUCAGGUGAAUGUCUGCGGCUCAACCGUACAUCUGCCAUUGAUACUGAUAGGCUUGAUUAGGUUGAGGCAGACGGAAUGUCUACAUGUACAUCUAGAAUCGCAUAUAUAUGUCGUAGAACACCGAUUGCAAAGGCUCCCAGAUUGUACCUGAUCUGA
rnacentral:rRNA from 1 species